CCUUUAAAGAGUGCGUAACAGCUCACUAGUCGAGUGACCCUGCGCCGAAAAUGUACCGGGGCUAAGCCUGAUACCGAAACUGCGGAUUGUAGGAAACUAUAGUGGUAGGGGAGCGUUGUAUACGAGCAGAAGCCGUACCGUGAGGAGCGGUGGAUUGUAUAGAAGUGAGAAUGCCGGUGUGAGUAGCGAGAUGUAGGUGAGAAUCCUACACACCGAAAGCCCAAGGAUUCCAGGGGAAGGUUCGUCCGCCCUGGGUAAGUCGGGACCUAACGCGAGGCCGAAAGGCGUAGUGGAUGGAAAGCAGGCGAAAGAUUCCUGCACCCGUAUAUGGAGCGAAGGAGUGACGGAGACGGAUAGUGUGACCCUCUUAAUGGAUUGAGGGCGAAGCGAAGCGGCUGGUUACCAGGCAAAUCCGGUAACCAUAAGGCUAGAGCGUGACAGGUAAGCGAAAUCUUCGGAAAGUAGCGAAGCACAUGAUGACGGCUUCCAGGAAAAGCUUCUGGCAAUGCAUAUGCGGCCCGUACCAAAACCGACACAGGUGGGCAGGGAGAGAAUCCCGAGGUGAGCGAGAGAACUGUUGCCAAGGAACUCGGCAAAAUGACUCCGUAAGUUAGCGAGAAGGAGUGCUUAAGCAAUUAAGCCGCAGUGAAGAGGCCCAAGCGACUGUUUAACUAAAACACAGCUCUCUGCGAAGUCGCAAGACGAAGUAUAGGGGGUGACACCUGCCCGGUGCUGGAAGGUUAAGAGGAUCUGUUAAGAGCGAUCUGAAGCAGUGAUCCGAAGCCCCAGUGAACGGCGGCCGUAACUAUAACGGUCCUAAGGUAGCGAAAUUCCUUGUCAGGUAAGUUCUGACCCGCACGAAAGGUGUAACGAUUUGGGCGCUGUCUCGGCAGCAGACUCGGUGAAAUCUUAGUACCUGUGAAAAUGCAGGUUACCCGCAACUAGACGGAAAGACCCCAUGGAGCUUUACUGCAGCCUGAUAUUGAAUUCUGGUCAUACAUGUACAGGAUAGGUGGGAGACAAAGAGACGUGCACGCCAGUGUACGAGGAGUCGACGUUGGGAUACCACUCUUGUGUGACCGGGGUUCUAACCUGGUAUCGAGAACAGGUACGGGGAGAGUGUCAGGUGGGCAGUUUGACUGGGGCGGUCGCCUCCCAAAGAGUAACGGAGGCGCCCAAAGGUACGCUCAGAUUGGAUGGAAACCAAUCGUCGAGUGCAAUUGCAGAAGCGUGCUUGACUGUGAGACAGACAAGUCGAACAGGGACGAAAGUCGGGAAUAGUGAUCCGGCGGUGCCGAAUGGAAGGGCCGUCGCUCAACGGAUAAAAGCUACCCUGGGGAUAACAGGCUGAUCUCGCCCAAGAGUUCACAUCGACGGCGAGGUUUGGCACCUCGAUGUCGGCUCAUCGCAUCCUGGAGCUGGAUUCGGUUCCAAGGGUUGGGCUGUCCGCCCAUUAAAGCGGUACGCGAGCUGGGUUCAGAACGUCGUGAGACAGUUCGGUCCCUAUCUGUUGUGGGCGAAGGAGAUCUGCGGAGAGCUGUCCUCAGUACGAGAGGACCGGGAUGGACCUACCGCUGGUGCACCGGUUGUUCCGCCAGGGGCAUAGCCGGGUAGCUAAGUAGGGAAAGGAUAAGCGCUGAAAGCAUCUAAGCACGAAGCCUACUCCAAGAUGAGAUCUCCCAUUCGCAAGAAGUAAGACCCCUUAAAGACGAUAAGGUAGAUAGGCCAGGGAUGGAAGUGCAGUGAUGUACGGAGUUGACUGGUACUAAUCGGUCGAGGACUUAAUCAG
rnacentral:rRNA from 1 species